rnacentral:rRNA from 1 species
CUGGUCUGAGAGGAUGACCAGCCACACUGGAACUGAGACACGGUCCAGACUCCUACGGGAGGCAGCAGUGGGGAAUAUUGCACAAUGGGCGCAAGCCUGAUGCAGCCAUGCCGCGUGUAUGAAGAAGGCCUUCGGGUUGUAAAGUACUUUCAGCGGGGAGGAAGGUGUUGUGGUUAAUAACCGCAGCAAUUGACGUUACCCGCAGAAGAAGCACCGGCUAACUCCGUGCCAGCAGCCGCGGUAAUACGGAGGGUGCAAGCGUUAAUCGGAAUUACUGGGCGUAAAGCGCACGCAGGCGGUCUGUCAAGUCGGAUGUGAAAUCCCCGGGCUCAACCUGGGAACUGCAUUCGAAACUGGCAGGCUUGAGUCUUGUAGAGGGGGGUAGAAUUCCAGGUGUAGCGGUGAAAUGCGUAGAGAUCUGGAGGAAUACCGGUGGCGA